CCCCAUAACCGCCCCAUAGAGCCCCACAGUACCCCAUAACCACUCCAUAAAGCCCCAUAACCGCCCCACAGAGCCGCCCCACGGCCGUACCGGUGCCCGCAUGGUGCAGCAGCCUAUAGGCGGAGGUAUCCACCACCAUUUCCUCGUCGGGACCGGGCGGGGGGCCGCGACCGGGGAUGUAAACGCGCCCCUCCCCCUCUCCGCUCCGCCCCGCCCCCCUUCGUGCUGGCUCCGCCCCCUGGCCCCGCCCCCUCCGCCGUUCCCGGGAGCUCCGGAGCCGCGUGGCUCCAGUGCCUCCGCUGCGCGCCGCCAUUUUUUGCCACUUUCCGGCGCUGUGCGACACACUUCCGGUCACGUGCAGCACGCUUCCGUUCUUUUUCAGGCACACUUCCGGUCCUUCACUGGACACGCUUCCGGUUCUCCUCCAGACGCUCUUUUGGUUCUCCUUUAGGGGCACUUCCGGUUCCGCGCUACGCACUUCCGCCCUCCUGCCCCUCCACUUCCGGCCCCGCCGCCAUUUUGUCGCCGCCGUUGCCAUAGCGACGGCUAUGGCGGCCUGCCGCCACCCACCCUCCCUCUGCCCUCAUUAACACCUUAAUUAGCGCGUAAUUAACGCCACGGUGAGCUACAAAAGCUUUAAUUGAGGACGAGACUGCGUCGCACGGGGACACGAGGGGAGGAAAUGGGACAAAAAGGGACAAAAACGGGCAAAAACGGGGAGGGGGGGGGGAAGGGCCGGUUGNNNNNNNNNNNNNNNNNNNNNNNNNNNNGGACAUUUGGGGACAUUUGGGGACACGAAGGACGUUUUGGGGUCACAGUGGCGGUGGCUGCGGUCGCUCACAGUUUUUUAUUUUAUUUCCGGCCCCCAAAAAUGGCCCAAAUUUGGGUCAAAAUGGGGACGGGGUCACAGUGACAAAGUGGGGAGGGGGAGGGGAAGGGAGGGGGGUGGGGCACUGAGGGGACAAUGGGGACAAUGGGGACAGAGGGACAAUGGGGACAUUAUGGCGACAAUGGGGGCAUUGGGGACAUUAUGGGGACAAUGGGGACAGAGGGGCAAUGGGGGAGGGGCACCGUCACCCUAUGGGGACAUCUGAGUGUCAUUGUCCCCGAUGGGGACAUUUCUGUGUCACUGUCACUGUUUGGGGACAUCUCUGUGUCAUCAUUGUCCCCAGUGGGCCACAGGGGCACCUUAAUGUCAUUGUCACCAUUUGGGGACAUCUCUGUGUCACCGUCAUUGUCACUGUGCCACCAUCAUUGUCCCCAAUGGACCUUGGUGAGGUCCCUGUGUCACUGUCACCAUUUGGGGACACCUCUGUGUCCCCAUCAUUGUCCCCAAAGGACCUUGGGGACAUCCCUGUGUCAUUGUCACCAUUUGGGGCCACACCUGUGUGUCACCGUCAUUGUCCCCAAUGGACCUUGGGGACAUCUCUGUGUCACUGUCACCAUUUGGGGACAUCUCUGUGUCGCUGUCAUUGUCACCGUGUCACCAUCAUUGUCCCCAGUGGGGGCAUCUCAGUGUCAUUGUCACCAUUUGGGGACAUCUCUGUGUCACCGUCAUUGUCCCCAGUG
rnacentral:lncRNA from 1 species